GGUAGUGGCAGGUGUGCCAGCUAGGACCCACCAACCCAAAGCGCCAAGCAGCUGUGUGUGGUUCCGGCGCUGCAGCUGCAGCCAGCAGAUUCCUGCACUUACCACCAUUGCUGAGACUGAUCCAACAAGACAGAAGGUCUUUUUCUACCAACUGGAGAAUCUUGCCCACAAAUUUGCAAUUUCUCAGUGUCAGAAGCAACGCUUAAAACACCUUCUUCAUCUCAGAGAACCCCACAGACAGGGGAUAUUCCACAAAAUCCGUCACCUUCUGAAGCCUGAAAGUCAGCCUGCAGCGCUGGGUGGAAGACUAGUGAUUUUGUUGUGAUACUGAACAAAAAGACCAACAACAAAACCCAGUCUGCCUCUCAGUGCCGGGUACAGCCCACCUAUCAAAGCCGGGUCAGUGUGGAGAAGUUUGGACCUGCUGCUGCUACAAAUGGGUAGCAAAGCAAAAGUUUUACUUUUUGGCAGUAGAUGUAGGGCAAAAAGAAAUCCAUGUUUAAUAAGAAAAUAAAAUUCUUUAAAAUAUUUUGUAAUGUUAAUAUAUUUGUUUUCUAUUUUUUCUAUGUUUAAAUAAACAUUUUAAUGUGCCCAGUCUCUUAGA